UGGCCACAAAGGAGAAAAAGGGCCAAACAUGGCCUUUGACCAACGGGACAAGGUUGUCCCAUUGGCUGUCAGGGCACAACAGCAUUAUGCGCGUACGUAGGCGGCCACGCCGUGUACUGUGCAUGCGCAGACACUACUGCAUUGUACACUGUCCACGCACAGGUCCUACUAUGCUAAGAACAGUUGCACAUAGGGCGCACGCAGUGUGGGAACGCUGUUCGCGGUUCAUGGGCUACAGCUCGCGAGUCACGAGUCCCAAGCCGUGUUUUCCCAUGUUCUUUAUUUUAUUGUCGUCUUUUUUCUUCUGAAAUUUAUGUUAUUUGGAAUAAAAUUUUUGGGAAACUAAUUAAAAUAAAAAGGAACUCAUAUUUUCAAUGAAAAUUUCAUAUGGGCGAAGAC
rnacentral:lncRNA from 1 species